AAAUUACCUGUGAUAAGGCUAGUAGCAAUAUAAAAGUUUAAGAGAAUCAGCGGUUGGUGUGAGUUGAUACUGUAGUAUUGUGAAUCCACCUUGGAGGGACUGUUAACAUCAGUACGGUGAUACCGAUAUAAUCGUAGAGUGAAUCAAGUUACUUGAUUAAUUAGGGUGGCAACACGGAGUCUUUCGUCCCUUUA
rnacentral:ncRNA from 1 species